rnacentral:rRNA from 1 species
AGACCCGAAACCCGGUGAUCUAGCCAUGGGCAGGUUGAAGGUUGGGUAACACUAACUGGAGGACCGAACCGACUAAUGUUGAAAAAUUAGCGGAUGACCUGUGGCUGGGGGUGAAAGGCCAAUCAAACCGGGAGAUAGCUGGUUCUCCCCGAAAGCUAUUUAGGUAGCGCCUCGUGAAUUCAUCUCCGGGGGUAGAGCACUGUUUCGGCCAGGGGGCCAUCCCGGCUUACCAAUCCGAUGCAAACUGCGAAUACCGGAGAAUGUUAUCACGGGAGACACACGGCGGGUGCUAACGUCCGUCGUGAAGAGGGAAACAACCCAGACCGCCAGCUAAGGUCCCAAAGUCAUGGUUAAGUGGGAAACGAUGUGGGAAGGCCCAGACAGCCAGGAUGUUGGCUUAGAAGCAGCCAUCAUUUAAAGAAAGCGUAAUAGCUCACUGGUCGAGUCGGCCUGCGCGGAAGAUGUAACGGGGCUAAACCAUGCACCGAAGCUGCGGCAGCGACACUGAUGUGUUGUUGGGUAGGGGAGCGUUCUGUAAGCCGUUGAAGGUGGCCUGUGAGGGUUGCUGGAGGUAUCAGAAGUGCGAAUGCUGACAUAAGUAACGAUAAAGCGGGUGAAAAGCCCGCUCGCCGGAAGACCAAGGGUUCCUGUCCAACGUUAAUCGGGGCAGGGUGAGUCGACCCCUAAGGCGAGGCCGAAAGGCGUAGUCGAUGGGAAACGGGUUAAUAUUCCCGUACUUGGUGUUACUGCGAAGGGGGGACGGAGAAGGCUAUGUUGGCCGGGCGAC